GCGGCAGGCCUCAAACAUGCAAGUCUAGGGGGUGUAGCAAUACAUCACCGGCGGACGGGUGCGUAACGCGUGGGAAUGUACCUAUUGGUUCGGAACAACUGAGGGAAACUUCAGCUAAUACCGAAUGUGCCCGAAAGGGGAAAGAUUUAUCGCCAAUGGAUCAGCCCGCGUUCGAUUAGCUAGUUGGUGAGGUUAUGGCUCACCAAGGCGACGAUCGAUAGCUGUUCUGAGAGGAAGAUCAGCCACACUGGGACUGAGACACGGCCCAGACUCCUACGGGAGGCAGCANUUGGGAAUCUUGGACAAUGGGGGAAACCCUGAUCCAGCCAUGCCGCGUGAGUGAUGAAGGCCUUCGGGUUGUAAAACUCUUUCGCGCACGACGAUAAUGACGGU
rnacentral:rRNA from 1 species